CAUUGGAUUAGAUGGCAAACUGAUAUGUGGCCAAACAGGAACACACACAAGAAAAUCUGACAACAGUCAACAGCAGUCCAGAAGUCCUCAGGCUCCAGUAAAGGGGGACAGUCCUACUGGCAGUGCUACUGUGUGUGGCUACCGUUUUUCAGUGGCAAUGUUUCCAAUUAAUGAGAAAAAUAAGGACAAAAUCAGACAGCUGUAUGUUGUUGAGAAGAGAGAGCAUGAUGUCAUUGCUAAAAUAUCUCGUUACGCCUCGUU